CAUAUGAAGCCCAGGAUGAAAGAGGGACCUUCAGACUGUCGUGCCUUCUCCAGCAAAAGCAAUUUCACGGUGACCACGUGGUUCUCUUUGAGUGGAGAGGCUGCCACCGGGCUUUAAGCUGUAAACCCAUAUCAGGGUAAGAGCUGAGGCCCAGGGCUCCAGCACGCUCCUGGUGAGCUACAAACACAGCCACGGCCACCUAAGUGCCAGAAUCACCACGGCUGCCUACCUGCCCCUCAAGCACGACCCUCCUGUGCCCGUGUCGGCCUCCAUAGAGCUCAUCCUGGUGGAGGACAUGAGGGUGAAUCCAGAAGAGGUGACCAUCUACAACCACCCUGGCAUCCAGGUGGAGCUGCACAUCAGAGGAGGCUCGGGAUACUUCUUCCUCAACACCAGCACUGCAGAGGUAGUCAACGUGGCCCACCAGGAGGCAGGGGAGUCGCCUGAAACACUUAUGUCUACACAAAGUCAUGGAAACUAUACAACUACUGCUGAAGAAUUAUUGGGUUAAGGAGAAAAUUAAGAUGGAAAUCAAAACAGUCUUAGAACUAAACAAAAUGGGACACAACCUAUCAAAAUCUGUGGGACACAGCAAAAACAGUCCUAAGAGGAAAAUUUAUAGCCAUAAAUGCCUAUAUCCAGAAGAUGGAAAGAUCACAAUGUAAUGAAUUAUCUCAAAGAACUGGAGUAGGAUGAGCAAAGCAAUCCCAAACCCAGCAGAAGAAAAGAAAUAACCAAGAUCAG